CAUGAGUCUCGCCCCACAUCAGACCUACACCAGCAGUUCUCAAUCCUGGCUGAGGAGCUUUUAAAAGUCUCUCCCCUGUUGGGCCUCAGGCAUCCAGGUGCUUCUGAUGUGUGCCAGGGCCGACACACGCUACUCUAUAUUCAGGUAUCUCUGCAGACCGCAAGAACGCAGGGCCGAGACACUGCCUCCUGGCACGCACUCAGCCAGCACCAGCUACGGAUCAAACACCAGUUCUGCUGCCCAUGCCAGAUGCCCACUGAGAUGAUGAAACCAGAGCUUUAAGAGGCCUUGAACUUCUUCCAAGUCACAGUGCAGACAUUUGACCCCAGGACUGCACAUCUCCAGGAUGAACUCCUUGUAUUUCUAUCUUCUUCCCUGAAAAUAUGUCUCUGUCUUGAUCCCUGGGUCUUGGAGGAAGAAAAGGUCUUUCAACUCAAAGUUUCCUCCUCCAUCUUGAUCUUGAUUUCCUCCUUUUUCUCUGCACUUUGCUUCUUUGGCUCUGCCCCUUCCCCUCUCAUAUGGCUCAGUCCCUCCUCCCUACAAAGAUGCGCGGUGUCCCUGGCUUCUCCAACACACUCCUGCGUGAUCUGCCUCCUUUGUUUCACUGUUAACUUGUCAAUUUGGCCACCUUUUCUGCUCCUUCAUGAGCUUCUUGACCUGUCCUGUCACCUGUUCCAUGAACCAAGCCUAGCGCCCUCCCUGGCUCUGUGUGUCCUUGGCUCCCU
ensembl:lncRNA